rnacentral:pre_miRNA from 1 species
AAUAAAUACAGUUUUGCACUGUUUAUGUCUAACGUUUGGCCAUUCGUCAUAUUUAAAAAUUUAUUAUGAUUACUAUUUUUAUUGUUAUUAGGUGAUAAAAUAUGAAUAAUACUUUAUGUGUGACUAAUUUUUUUUAAUUUUUUUUAUAAUAUUUUCAAAUAUAAGAUAAACGGUUGAUACGGAUACCGACGGCUGCACUUAUU